rnacentral:rRNA from 1 species
UACGUAGGGGGCUAGCGUUGUCCGGAAUCAUUGGGCGUAAAGGGCGCGUAGGCGGCUUCUCAAGCGUGUGGUGAAAGUCCGGGGCUCAACCCCGGAUCGGCCGUGCGGACUGGGGAGCUCGAGUUCUGUAGAGGCGGGUGGAAUUCCGGGUGUAGCGGUGGAAUGCGUAGAGAUCCGCAAGAACACCAGUGGCGAAGGCGGCUCACUGGCCCGAUACUGACGCUGAGGCACGAAAGCGUGGGGAGCAAACAGG